rnacentral:rRNA from 1 species
CUUCUGGAGUUUGGCAGAGGGGGGUGGAAUUCCACGUGUAGCAGUGAAAUGCGUAGAGAUGUGGAGGAACACCAAUGGCGAAGGCAGCCCCCUGGGUCGAUACUGACGCUCAUGCACGAAAGCGUGGGUAGCAAACAGGAUUAGAUACCCUGGUAGUCCACGCCCUAAACGAUGUCAACUAGGUGUUGGGAGGGUAAAACCUUUUAGUGCCGUAGCUAAC